UACAGAGGUCUCAAGCGUUGUUCGGAUUCAUUGGGCGUAAAGGGUGCGUAGGCGGCGCGGUAAGUCGGGUGUGAAGAUCUCGGAGCUUAACUCCGAAACUGCAUUCGAUACUGCCGUGCUUGAGGACUGGAGAGGAGACUGGAAUUUACGGUGUAGCGGUGAAAUGCGUAGAUAUCGUAAGGAAGACCAGUGGCGAAGGCGGGUCUCUGGACAGUUCCUGACGCUGAGGCACGAAGGUCAGGGGAGCAAACGGG
rnacentral:rRNA from 1 species